AUCCUAGUAAAGAGCCUUGGGAUUCGGUUGCUAUGGAGAAGAGAAACCAGUGCUGUGCGGCAGGAAUAGGUUACUGCGGUAGCUGACACUGCCUAGAAGGUCAUCAAGCCUGUGCAGACAGAUUGCAGCCUAUCGUGAAAGGAGGCGGAAAGUUAACUGUUCAAAGAAUGUCUGUAGGAUGCUCCCCCCAUUGUCCCCCCCAGUGCCUACAUCCACUGUCUAGUACACUACAAUACCACAUUUGAGAAGGACAGAUUAAAAACUAAGAGGGAUUGAACUGAGGCCAUCCGAUUUGGCGCCAAGGACCUUUACCUGCCGAGUCACUUCCCUGCCUCUGUGUUCAGAUUCUUUACAUGCGUUUAAAGCUGGCGACACCAGAACAUGCACUUUAUCGUAACGGAUCUAUUCCAGAACAUCUUUCUAGAGCUCAGCAGUGAAAACUUGCAUUCCCGCUCAGCAGUGAAAACUUGCAUUCCCGGAGCCACCAUUUCAGACUGAUUUUCUCUGAACACAAAACAGACGGUUUGCCCUGAAAUCACUGGGGGAUAAUGGAAGCUGCAGGUUUUGCGAUGAUCUUUAUCUGCGGUGCCCCUGGCACUGGCUUGGGGUUUAGGCAAACAGAGGCUCCAGAGUGCCUUGCAAUAAAACCUGGGAGCUUCCUGGUUGCUGGUAACAGUAACUACUACCAUCAGCAAGAGCUACCACAGAGCCCCAAAGACUCAGUCUUUCACAGGACCCUGGGAAGCCUGGCGCUGGGUUUCUAAUUUCAGACACAACGGAGAUAAAGCACAAAGGCUUUCUGCAAGGAAACUGUCUUCCAGACACAGCGGGACUGACACACAGAGAAUUCACAGAGGAGGAGGCAGCAUGCACAGGCCUGCCCAGGUUCCUGCUACACAGGGUCCUCUCACAGAGCAGGGGAAGUGGACACCGGAUCUCAUCCGUGACCGAGAAGCUAUUUACAGUUAAUACCCCCUGGCAAAGGGAAAAUCAAUUUUCCCCAAUAGAGUAUCACCGGGUUUAUCAACCACACUCCAGGGCAUGUCUUUUUGCCCAGAAAUGGCCAAUACGAAAUGGACUCCAUAUUUGUUUGUAUCUGGGAGCAGGGAGGCAUUUUCUUCUCUCUUUUUUUUUUUUUUUUUUUUUUUGGUUCUCUUUUUCGGAGCUGGGGACCGAACCCAGGGCCUUGCGUUUCCUAGGUAAGCGCUCUACCACUGAGCUAAAUCCCCAGCCCCGGGAGGCAUUUUCUUACACUAUUUAGUUUUGUUUGGCUUUUUUUGUUGUUGUUUGGUUUUUCCAGGCAGGGUUUCUCCAAGUAGCUCGGGCUGUCCUGGAAUUUGCUCUUGAGAAGGCUGAUUCCACGACAGGCUCCAAAUUGGCAGUUAAAGACACUAGGCCUAAAAAUCCAGGCUUCAGGCAGCUAGUCAGAAACUGCCCCACCGCCUGGCCAGAAACAGGACAAUGGGUCAGCAGUUUCCAGCCAGCCCUCAUGCCCCAGUAAUAGAAUGUCCUUAGAGAUAGAGCAAGACAGAGUCCAAGCACAAAGUCCACUACCCCGGGAUUCUAAGGUGCUUUACAUUGGGUCUGCAAGCACACUUCCAGGGUCUCUCUUGGUAAUAGGGAGACCCCAGCAAGCUGGACUUCUGCAGAAUAAAACACUCCACGUUUACGUUCUCCAAUGGAUCAGGGACCCUUACACUCUGUAGAGCCGGCUGCCUCUGCCUUUGAGUGCUGAGGUUAAAGCAUCCAGCUUUACUUCACGUUUCAAGCAUUUAUUUUUACCUGGAUUUAUGCGUAUGCGUGUGUGAGUAUAUACCACGUAUUUUUGCGCAUCCGUGGGGGUUGGUAGAAGACAUGAGACCAUGGAGUUGUAAGUCAUCAGGUGUGGAUACUAGAAACCGAACUUGGGGUCCUCUGGAAAGCAGCGAGCGAGUGCUCUAACCACUGAACAUCUCUGCAGCCCCCAGAGUAGAUUUUGAACUUAUUUGUUUACUUGUUUGUUUGUUUGUUUGUUUAUGUGUAGCAGCAAAGAUGCACACUAGUCUGUGUGACCAUUUUCCUUCUAAAUCUGGUCAAGAACACAUUCUAAUUUCUUCUCAAUUCUGCCUCAUUUUAUUAGUGUCAGGGAGAAGCAGAAGGACACGGGGUUGUGUAUCUGACUCGGGCAUUUUAUUAAUUUUUAAUAUUUUUUACAUACGCACACAUGUCACAGCUCAUGUAGAAGGUAGACUACUCCUGUAUAUGGGGCUCAGGGAUGGAACGUGGGUCCUCAGGCUUCCCCACAAAUCAAUCUCUCUCUCUCUCUCUCUCUCUCUCUCUCUCUCUCUCUCUCUCUCUCUCUCUCUCUCAGCCUUGUGUUUCCUAGGCAAGCUUCAAGCUCCCUCUGCCCAGCACCAGGUCUGUUUUACCUGUGCUUACCUGGUGCUGUGGACUGAGCUGGGCCUGCACCCACAGCCUCCAGACUUGGGGAUUUUUAAAUAAUCCUAAACUUUUUUGUAACUGCCAGUCUUCUGUGAACAUCACUACCGAUUUCCACUCUCCUGUAUGCAUUUAGGAAGGCCAACCGGAAGAUUCCGUCUUGGGGUUUGUUCUCUAAUUUGUCUUUCAGAUAAAGGCAGAUGCAUGCAGAAGAUCAAAUUCAGCAGGGCAGUUGAAGGUUUUUCCAUGACUAAUGCGAGCAAAUUGCUGCAUGGAAAGGUUGGGGUGAUGGCUCAGACAGAAGAAAUAUGCUUGCCACACAAGCCGUGAGGACUUGAGUUCAAUCCCCCUAUAAAACCAGGCCGAGUGGCACAUGCCGGUAACCUCAACACUGGGAAAGCAGAGAGAAGAGCUUCUGUGGGAAUCAUGGAGCAGGCAGUUUAGCCACAAAGGACAAGAAAUGUGAGAAACCGGUGCUGAAUCGUGGGGGAGGGGACUCCGGAGCUUCUUUUGAUUACUGUUAAAUCCCUGUAGCCACAGCACCAUGGCAACCUUCCCAGUCUGCCACCUCAUUUCCAUCUGCUUCGAAGAACAAAGGGAGCCGGACAAAGGUGGUUCAACAUACACUCGGGCGAGUGUGCAUAAUUUAAGUCAAUGAAAAGGAACUAAAUUAAAAACUGUGUUCUACAAAAACUGGGAUUCCUGCCGGCUGGGGAGGUGGCUCGGCUGGUACAGUCCUUGCUUAUCAUGGGCUUUGAUUCUCCACUCUGUGAUAGCACAAGCCUGUCAGAUGUCCACAGCGCUCCAGAGUGCAGGCCGGGAUCAGUUGUCCAAGGUCAUCCUCUGCAGUAUAGAAAGUUUGAGGCUGUCUUGGGGUAUGUGAGACUGUUUCAAGAGAAGGAGGAGGAUGGAGAGAAUGAAAAGGGAGAGGAGAAGGAGGAAGAGAGGUUAAGUUUGUAAAAAACAGUGAACAGCUUAGAAGGUAAGUUCAGUACUUGCACAUCAAUGAGCGACUUCAAAAGAUUUUUUUUUCCCUGAGACAGGGUUUCUUUGUGCAGCCCUGGCGAGCCUGGAACUCACUCUGUAGACCAGGCUGGUCUCAAACUCAAGAGAUCUACCUGCCUCUGCCUCCCAAGUGCUGGGAGUAAAGGGGUGCAUGUAAUUGUAACUUUUAUUUGCCUGGUGUAAUUAUGGUCUCCAAGGCUUACUGCCUUUUAGUCUGCCUAGUCCUGGAAGCUUCUAAACUCCAUACUAUUUAAUCUAGGCCUAGAAUGUUUUCACCCUCUGAGACUUUACGGCUUGUAGAGAGCUGCGACGUGCCCCGCCUCAAAGAUGGCGCUGGUUUCCGCCUUCCACCCUCCCAACGGUGAGCGCUCCUUGCAGUAAACAAGUCCUUAUUUGGCUAUGUCUGCCUGGCCCGCUAGCUUCUGCAUAGUGACAGCCUAUCUACAUGACACACAUGGCUUGCUAGUACUGGCCAGUGCUAGCUAUUUAAGUAUGGUGCAGGGCGUUCCCCAGGGAGAGAGAGCCAGAAGAGAGAGAGGUCAGAAGAUUGAAUCAAGGUUCCUGAAUAAAACUGCUUGGAGAAGA
ensembl:lncRNA